CAGUCGCCGCGGUAAAACGGAGGGUGCAAGCGUUAAUCGGAAUUACUGGGCGUAAAGCGCACGCAGGCGGUCUGACAAGUCAGAUGUGAAAUCCCCGGGCUUAACCUGGGAACUGCAUUUGAAACUGUCAGGCUGGAGUCUUGUAGAGGGGGGUGGAAUUCCAGGUGUAGCGGUGAAAUGCGUAGAGAUCUGGAGGAAUACCGGUGGCGAAGGCGGCCCCCUGGACAAAGACUGACGCUCAGGUGCGAAAGCGUGGGGAGCAAACAGGAUUAGAGACCCCAGUAGUCCCUGUCUUUUAUAC
rnacentral:rRNA from 1 species